UUUUUUUUUUUAGAGUUUCGAAAACUAAAAUCGUCGAUUUCAUAUAAAAAUUCUCUAUCAAAUUAUGGUUAGAGCUUAGAUCGGUAAAUAUCUCAUAUCAAUUUUGCUUUUGAGAUCAAAAUCUCGAAAAAUUUCAACAAAAAAUUCUAUGGUUUCUUGAUCUUAAAAUCUGGAAAAAAUUUCUAUCUUUAAUCUUGAUCGAAAAUUGGUCUUCAAAUCUGUAAUACCCAUAUAAUUGAUUUGAUUUUAGAUAGCUUUCAGUUUGUAUAUAUUUGUUCUUGAUGGGGUUGAAGGUAAAUUCGAUUCUGAGAAGAGAUUAUGGAUUGAGUUUGUUGCAUUGGUGGAAGACGAAAAUGGAGGAGAUGGUCAAGAACAAGAAGCUUCCAAGGAAGUGAGUUGUUUGAUGUGAUGAUGGAAGGAGGUAGCUGAAAUGGGUGCUUGUUUGAGCAUUGAUAGCUAAGUAGGUGGUGAACUGAAAUUGCGGGAAGGUUGAGUAUGGAAGGUAUGUUUCAUGAAGAUGACAGCAGAAUGGUGGUGACUCUUGUUGAUUUCGGUCAUUGGUUCAAGCAAUAGAAGACGGAGAUUGGUUGAAUUAGUUGAGCUGUUAUUGUUGAUUGCAUAUGGAAAUGGGUUUAAUCUAAUGUUGCCAAGGGUAAGAGGAUGUUGGUCCUGGUGAUGUAGUUUGAGCUCAUAAGGAAGGAUGGCUAGGUCAAAAAGUGGUGUUGUUGUGUUACUGAUGGCUGAGUUAUGGUGGUUGUUCGGCUGUGAAUUGUUGGGAAUAGCAGAAUCAGUUGCAGAUGGGAUUGCAACUAGAUGAACAUUGUAGGGAAGUGAUUGAAGCUACAGAAUGGAUGUGGUAACAUUCAUACUCAGAAGGAAGAUUCUGGUGGUGGUGGUGAGGCAUAAUUUGUAAUGUGAUUGAUUAUGUCGAAAAAUGAAGAAUCAGGGUGUAAUAGCCCAGUUAGGACAGAUGCUGAUUUUCAGACACUACAAAACCUUGAACCACAGAUGCUGAUUUUAUUUCCAAUCUAGAUAGUUACUGCUGGAGAAUUGAAUUGAAUGGAUUCGAUUUGCAGUUUGUAAUAUUGAAACUUGAAAACCUCUUGGAUAUAAACAUAAUCUUACUUUCGUUUUCAGGUUUAGUUUGUAUACCCUCCAGAAAAACAACUGUCGCUCAAGUAUAAGGAUCUUGUGCCAUUCUGCUUUCCAGGAGGUCUGGAGGUUCAUGCUGUUGAAAGAACUCCUUCAAUGAGUGAGUUGAGUGAAAUACUCCUUGGACAGGAACAUUUCAAGCAAAGUGAUCUAUCCUUCGUAUUCCGUUUACAGGAGAUGCAUGUAAGGCAUUGCUUGAUGCAGCUGGAGUGAUCAAAUCUUAACCAAAUGAUGAAAGCUUAAGGAAUUGAAUGGUUGGAUCCAAUUGGGGUUCUAAUACGAUGCGAUGGCAGAUCUCUUUGGAGGGGGCUUCCGUUAGUGUUUUUGCAGCAACUUGAGCUGGUGGAAGGACAAGAGGGAUUAUACCCCUGAAAUCAUACUCAAGCAAGAGGUUCUACCAUUAAAUGACAGCCAUUAUGUCCCUUAGCAACUGCAAGUUUUGAGCAAGUUUCUAUGUAGUUUCUUCUUAUAGUGAUUUAUGUGAGAAUGAACUGUGAUUUAAGUGAGAAUGAACUGAACUAAGGAACUUAGUAGGCUUCUAUGACUUCCCUCAUGAUUUGAUACUUUAACAGUUUUUUUUGUACUUGAAAGAAUUUGUAUUCUUUUUGAGUUUGUAUUCUUUUUUGAAUUGAUUGAAUGUUGAAAUGAAUUGAUUGAAGAA